GACGAACGCUGGCGGCGUGCCUAACACAUGCAAGUCGAACGGGGUCCAUGGGAGCUUGCUCCCGGAAGACCUAGUGGCGAACGGGUGAGUAACACGUGAGAAACCUGCCCUGGAGUGGGGAAUAACUCGGGGAAACUCGAGCUAAUACCGCAUACCCUCGGAUGGUCGCAUGGCCGACCGAGGAAAGAUUCAUCGCUUCAGGAGGGUCUCGCGGCCUAUCAGCUAGUUGGUGGGGUAACGGCCUACCAAGGCAACGACGGGUAGCUGGUUUGAGAGAACGAUCAGCCACACUGGGACUGAGACACGGCCCAGACUCCUACGGGAGGCAGCAGUGGGGAAUCUUGCGCAAUGGGCGAAAGCCUGACGCAGCAACGCCGCGUGCGGGAUGACGGCCUUCGUGGUUGUAAACCGCUUUCUAGCAGGGACGAAAUAGACGGUACCUGCAGAAGAAGCCCGGCUACUACGUGCCAACAGCCGCGGUAAACGUCUACUG
rnacentral:rRNA from 1 species